AAAUUCAAAGUUUUGAAGGCUUUGUAAGAAAUGUUUGAGGGAACACACAGUCAGUUCCUUCAAACAUUUCUUACAAAUCCUUUAAAACCU